rfam:Equus caballus chromosome 16, whole genome shotgun sequence.
GGCCGGUUAGCUUAGUUGGUUGGAGCAUGGUGCUAAUAACACAAAGGUCGCGGGUUCGAUCCCCGUAUAGGCCA